rnacentral:rRNA from 1 species
GAUGAACGCUGGCGGCGUGCCUAAUACAUGCAAGUCGAGCGAACGGACGAGAAGCUUGCUGGUCUGAUGUUAGCGGCGGACGGGUGAGUAACACGUGGAUAACCUACCUAUAAGACUGGGAUAACUUCAGGACACCGGAGCUAAUACCGGAUAAUAUUUUGAACCGCAUGGUUCAAAAGUGAAAGACGGUCUUGCUGUCACUUAUAGAUGGAUCCGCGCUGCAUUAGCUAGUUGGUAAGGUACCGGCUUACCAAGGCAACGAUGCAUAGCCGACCUGAGAGGGUGAUCGGCCACACUGGAACGGAGCCGCGGUCCAGACGCCUACGGGAGGCAGCAGUAGGGAAUCUUCCGCAAUGGGCGAAAGCCUGACGGAGCAGCGGCGCGUGAGUGAUGAAGGUCUUCGGAUCGUAAAACUCUGCUAUUGGGGAAGAACAGAUGUGGAAGUAACUGUGCACAUCUUGACGGUACCUAAUCAGAAAGCCACGGCUAACUACGUG